GCCUUUUUUAGAGAAUGGUUUUUGUGGCGAUUGGGGGGGGGGGCGGUCGCCCCUUAGCCCCCCCUCCCCUUGGUUACGCCACUGUUUCCGUUUCUAAUAAUAAGUUUUAAAUAUUAAUCAGUUACAUUCAAAUAUUAAUCAGUUACAUAGAAAUACAAACUGUAAACGUUGCCUUUGAACAAAAAUACAGGUCCUGAUUUAAUAAUUGAGGACAGGUCAUAGGCGUGUACUUAUCCACAUUCAUCUACAACAUCUUUGACAUGAGGUACAGGUAGCUGGAGAGAUGGUAGCCCGAAGUUAGGCGGCAAGCUGGUCGGCAAUCUGAAGGCCUGUUCCGGGGUUCUGUAUUACCACAGAAUAAACAAAUCUGUUUACUCUGUGGUAUUAAUUAUUAAUAUGCAUUAAAUCAAGGCAGAUUAUCCGUGCUCUCAGACUCAGUAGUUGUCGCACAACCUCUGGUAUGUACUUCCUGUCUUGCAGCUAUAAUGAAUCUAUGUGUGGGGUUGGGCAUAGCCCUAGGACCCCUAGGACAUGAAGUAUAUACCCUACCUCGUCUGCAGGCCAUACAGCCCGUAUGUCCGUUCGCAGGUUUCGUUGCCUUAAUAUUUUUAAAACUCCUGUGCCUUCACAAAUUUGGAAGCUUCGCGUAAUGCAAUUUUGGGUGAUCAUCAGGAUUGUCACGGCAUUCUAUGUAUUCUUCAUAUUUUAUGUCCAGAAGUUCCACUGAAUAGGGGUCCAGGAAUUUGGAGUUUACUCUCAUAGGAUGAUCAUGCUUGCAGGAAUUUUUUUUUUCAAGUUUUCUUCUCGCACGUUUUUUUUUUUAAGGAUAAAGGCUUGCUCGAAUUUUUUGGGGGGAUUUCUGCAACCACCCCCUCAAAUAUCUAAUGGUCCGUCCCUUACUAGACUCUUUUGUCUGGAACAUGAGUGCAAACGCUCUCUACAGGGUGAGUAAAAAAAAACUGACACCUUUGUUAUUCAAAUUAGCAGCGAAGGUAUCAGUUUUUUUUUAUUCACCCUGUAUACAGGGUGUAUAAAAAAAACCUGAACCCUUUCAAAUUAGCUAUAACGUAUUGUAGUAAUU